UACAGAGGCCCCAAGCGUUACUGAGAAUCACUGGGUUUAAAGGGUGCGUAGGUGGUCCGUUAAGUCAGUUGUGAAAUCCCCGGGCUCAACCCGGGAACUGCUUCUGAUACUGGCGGACUUGAGGCCGGUAGGGGUCACUGGAACAGACGGUGGAGCGGUGAAAUGCGUAGAUAUCGUCUGGAACGCCGGUGGUGAAGACGGGUGACUUGGCCGGUUCUGACACUGAGGCACGAAAGCGUGGGGAGCGAACCGG
rnacentral:rRNA from 1 species